GAUGAACGCUAGCGGCAGGCUUAAUACAUGCAAGUCGUGGGGCAGCACAGUCCGCCGAAAGGCGGAUGGGUGGCGACCGGCAAACGGGUGCGGAACACGUACGCAACCUUCCUACAGGCGGGAUAGCCCAGAGAAAUUUGGAUUAAUACCCCACUAAAAUUUUAAAGUAUGGCAUCAUCUUAUUUAUUAAAGCUUCGGCACCUGAAGAUGGGCGGUGCGG
rnacentral:rRNA from 1 species